UUGAAGGACUUGAGCGGUGCCACAGCUCCUACCUCACCUUAUCUCCUCCCUCCCUAGCUCUUUUCCCUCUCAUUCCCUCACUGGCUGCAAGUAGCAAUAGGCCCCCCUCUGCUCCUCUCCACGUUUUCCCCAUUGAGUAGCAGCUCUGUCAAAGCAAAUCCAUGGCCAUUAGGCUGCCUCUGAGGCCUCCCAACCAAACUAGAGCUCAGUGAAGCUCCUUCAAGGUCUCCUUUGCCGAAUGCCGUCUCCGAUUCGUCAAAUUCCCACCAGAAUCGUGCUCGAGCGCGGGCCAUUCUCCCCCAACGCCGAUGUUGUGCUUGGUCGACCUCACCCACGGAUCUAUCAUCCCUAACUCCAGCUACCGGCAAUGCUCUCUGCAUUCUUACCGUCUGGGUCGUCACGGCAAAUUAAUUUUCAUUAUGGCUGUUCCUUGGUGACACCCGACCACAAUCCUACACAAAUUCAUAUCUUGUUCAAGAUUUCAAUGUGGCAGAAUAGAAAAAGAGCUAUGGGAGAUCCUUAUUAAGGACCAGGAGCGCGAUAAGAUGGAGAAGAUGAUGGUCGACAUCAAAAUGCAGAUUCGGCGACUUGAGGAUAGACAUCUUGUAAUAGACAAUGGCUAGUUUAUCUACAAAAUUCUCUUGCUUUAAAUCAAUCUGUUGUUACUCUUUUGCUGUUAUUUUUGUAGAAUCUAAAGUAUGGGGGUCUUAGAGUUAUGGGUUGAUAGAUGUAUGAAUAGCGUCGCAGACUGAUCUAGGAUUAGGAAGGGAGCGUGAUGAUGUGUUUCUAAACUGUGUAAUGAACGCUGGUAACCCCAGCAGAGUAGCAGACUAUGUUUUGCUUUAUAAAAAAGCAGGGCCAAAAGCCUUUGGGCUAAAAAUAAUAAUCCGCGGAGGG